UGGCUCUGGCAUCGAUGAAGAACGCAGCGAAAUGCGAUAAGUAAUGUGAAUUGCAGAAUUCAGUGAAUCAUCGAAUCUUUGAACGCACAUUGCGCCCGCCAGUAUUCUGGCGGGCAUGCCUGUUCGAGCGUCAUUUCAACCCUCAGGCCCCCAGCGCCUGGUGUUGGGGAUCGGCCUCCGGCGCUCGUCGCCCGGCCGGCCCCUAAAUCGAGUGGCGGUCCCGCCGCAGACCUCUGCGUAGUAGCACAAACCUCGCAGCUGGAAAGCGACGGCGACCACGCCGUGAAACACCCCACUUCUGAAAGUUGACCUCGGAUCAGGUAGGAAUACCCGCUGA
rnacentral:misc_RNA from 1 species